rnacentral:sRNA from 1 species
GUUUUGCGGCAUCUUCUGCUCUGGUGGCUGCUGCUCCGGCAGCAGUACUGCUUUGCGCCGCCAGUGAUGCGCUGGUAUCAGAUGCGGCGGCGUGAGUGGAUGCCUCCGAUGCUGAUGACGAGGCGGCUGUUGCGCUGGCCGCUGCUGUACUUGCUGACGUUGCUGCAUUUGUCUCAGAUGUUUUCGCUGCGGCUGCCGAUGCGGCUGCCGCCGUUCUGGCUGUGUCAGCCGACGCCGCGCUGGCUGAUGCCUCCCCGGCUUUUGUGGUCGCCGUACCUG